ensembl:lncRNA
UCCCAGAUAGGCAUAUCUCCUCUAGGCUGUUGCUCAAAUGUCACAAUCUUAGAACUUCCCUGACCACUCUUUCUAAAUAUCACCCCCCUGUCUAUUUCACUAUCCCGAUUUAAUUUUAUUCACAGCAAUUACAAACACCUAAUACAUUACUUGUAUUUAGGGACCACAUGAUCCCAACAGAAUGUAAGCUCCAUGAGGAAAGGUUGAUUUUCUCUGUCCUAACUGUAAAUACAGAGUUGUGCUUAAUGCAUACUUUGGAGAGAAUGCAUGAAUGAUGGAAUGAACAAACAAAUUUAAACUUGUUGAGAGAGGCAUAGCUAGACAGGCUGAGGAUUCUGCUACGAAACAUAUUCAGGGAUGACAAGAUGGUGACAAAGCCAUGGUCUUUAUCUCACCUACGUGGUGGUGUCCUUGGGUCCUCUCAGAGUUGACCCCUUUCCUAAGAGAAUGGAAGGUCCUGUUGUCUCUUCCACAUAUUACUCGCAGUCAGCGACAGGGGCUUUCCCACGCCAGGCCUGCAGAUCCCAGUCGGAAGCUUUAUCUAUCCUGCCCCUUGGGGGACUGCGGCUGGCUUUCCCCCAUGAGACCUAUUCUGUAUUGAACAGGAAAGCACAAACAAUCACAAUGCCCAGCAAAGAUAAAGUGUUUUCCAUGCUCUCUGUUACGACAGUGAUCCCCAUAGAGACGUAAUCUUCAGUUUACGAAGACUUUUUUCUGAGUCCCAAAUUGCAGAAAUCUGUGGGGUUUUCCCCCUAACCUUGCCCUUCCGCCCUUUGUGGAUCCUCCUGGAAUGGUCCACGGGCAUCUAUAUCUGCUGUUCCCCAAUCCCACCAGCAAGGGGCGCGCGAGAUGAAACAGUUCUGUCCUGGGAUGUACCACCGAGGGGUAGCGGAAAGACCACCCACUCUGGAAGGUACCAUUGGGAGAGGGCGUGUGACAACAGAGAGGGUCCCCUUACACCGCGUCGGGCAUGGACCGCAGUUCCCAGCAGCGGCACUCAUGGCGCCACUAGGUCCAUCCCCACUCGCUCCUCUUGGUCUUCCCACUGCUUUUGAAUCCGAGUGGACACAGUGGGCAAGUGGCGUCAACAUUGGGACCUAUAGAUCAAGAUUCCCCAAGCUGGAUGAACCUGUGGUUGACCAGCAGCCCAGUGUUGAGCAACCUCAACAAGAGGAACCGCCAGCUGAGAUUCAGGAUAUCACACCUAGAAAGGAGGAAGUACAUGUAGAGGAUCCAGUGAAUCGUGAUGAAGAAGAGGAGAAGGAUCCCUUUGAAGAUUCUGGCCUGGAAGCUGAUCUCCAGCGAUUGGCUCUGGCAAAGACUGGGGGUGAAGGUGGAGAUGGUCCCGAUGUCAGGGAGGAGUUUGCAUCAAAUAUAGAGCCUGUUGAAAUGCCAGAAGCAGGUAUGUCAUCCAUUCAGAAAGUAAUUUAUGUGGUUUCUGUUUUUCAGAAUAUCUUUACUAAUAUAGAGGGAACAUUACUAUUACUUUAAUAACAGAGUUCACAUAUUCUUUGAAAGAUAGUUCAGACCCCAGAUGCCUGAGUGCCUGACUUACAGACUUUCAAAUAAAGAAACAGAGAGGAUCA